GAGCUACAUUAGUGAAUCUGCUGAAUAACUUGUCCAUUGGUUUAGCAAAUACUUGUUUGAAGAAAUAUCUAAGACACCACUUAAACUAUUUUCAUAUUGUGUACCUAAAUUAUCAGUGUUAUAGUUAUACCCUAGCUCUGCAGUUUGACAUUGAUAGGAAGUAGAAUCUGAGAUGGGAUUUUGUUAGCAGAAUGCUUAUUAAAGACAAACAGCUAUAAAGAGAGACUUUGACUGCUUUCCAUUGGGAACUAUCCCACUUUCAAAUUCCUCCCCAACUUCCACCUAGGUUAAUACCAGCAGGUUUUCUUGUCAGCUAAUCACUGAGACUUGGAUGCAAACAAUACAAAGAAGAACCAUGAACUCCAAAAAGUGUCUCAACAGCUCAAGAAAUCUUUAAAUGGUUUGAGGUUUUUAAGGCAGUACUUCCUUCUUCAAAGAAACCAUAUCAUAUACUGGACACUGAUUCAAACCAUGUAUCACCUUCUGAAGAACUUUGCCCCAGCCCCACCACCUGCUGCCACCUAAUUGGUGCUGUAAUGGUGUCUUCAAAAAAGAAAAAAAAAAACAUUUCAUCUUUCUAUAAGGCAAGCAGCUACAGGGUGAUGGGGGAAACAUGAUAAGACUAGUGGAUUCCAUGAUCAUUGGCUGACUGUGCACUUCCUCUGGCUGUAAAAUGAGUUCUCUGUUCAGAAGCAAUACUGUGUGGAAUACCAUGACAGUGGAUAAAGCCUUCUGUAAGUUCAUGAAUGAUGGUUUUGGCGGAAAGCAUUAUGUGCAUGAAAGCAAAACUAAAACCAGAAUAAAUAUUUAUUCCAAUAAAGACAGGACGUUGUCCUUUCCACAGAGGAAGUAAUCCAAUAUAGUCAACCUGCUCUGAGGUCACUGACUGGUCACCCUUGGAAGUAGUAGCAUAUCUAGUAUUUCGUCUUGAUCUCUGCUUUUGGCAGAUCUGGCACUGAGCAGCAGCUACAGCCAGGUCAGCAAUACUGAGUGGAGGUCCUUUAGUUGAGAUUAUGCAUAACCCUCAUCUCUGCCACCAUGGCUAUUUUAUUCAUGGACCCAUUGGAUAGUGUCACAAAUGGCUGGGGAAAGAGGCUGACUGUCCACAGAACAGAUCAUCCCAUAUACUUGAUUUUGAAUUCUUCAGCUGACAUCAGCUUUUGAAGGACAUUUACAUGGAACACAAAUAUCUUCACAUCCUUUGCCCAUUUGGAGAGAUCUUUUCACGUACUUCUCCAGAUGUCUUUCUCACCAAUUUUCUAACCAUGCUCAUUCCAGGUCCCUGAUUAUCCAGUCAAUCUGGGCUACAGCCCAGUAAUCAGUGGACAAUCACAUAGAUGGCCAUUUCUCCUUCCAAACAAGAUCUGUGAUCUCUAUGAUCAUGUGUACUACCCAGAGUUCUGCCCACUAAAGAUUUCCCUUACUGGCGUCUUUCAGGGUUGUCCCAGAAAGGGGUUGUAAUGAUCGUUCUCCACUUCUUGGUGUUGCCUAUAUAACAUGCAUAGCUAUCAGUAAACCAGGCCCUAGUCUUCUCUUCCUCAGUCAACUUCUCCCAGAAACAUACUUUGAAGUAUAAAUUUCUCCAAGUUUCGAAAAGGCUAACUCCUUUUAAAAGGACAAGACAUUAAUAAUUGUUAAGAAUCAAGAUGGCACCCAAGCUGUAACCCUCUCAGGUACAUGAAAAAUUACAUUUAAAUUUAGUACUUUACAAUCCUGUGUGUAAGGUCUGAAGAUUUUGUUUGCUUGGAACACUCCCUGUAGAGUUUAAUCUGGCUAAGAUCUAAAGAAUGCCUAGAAAUCAAAUGAAAAAAGUUAUCUCUCAUAAAUGCAGCUAUUUAUGAAUUACUGUUGCAUUUUUAUGUAAAGUGAGUCGAGUAAUAGUCUCCUGUUGUUUUUGUUCUUUCAUAUUGGCAGAUUCUGAGACAGGAAACUAAAAAAAUUAUAAAGAAGACCAAACUUAGAACCGCAGUUCUCAACCUGUGGGUCACAACAACUUUUGGUGUUGCAUAUCAGAUAUCCUACAUAUCAGAUAUUUAGUUUGACUCAUAACAGUAGAAAAAUUACAGUUAUAAAAUAGCAAUAAAAUAAUUUUAUGGUUGGGGGUCACCACACCUUGAGAAACUAUACUAAAGUGUCACAGCAUUAGGAAAGUUGAGAACCUCUAUGUUAGAGAGUAAGCUUCAAUUUUGCCUAUCCUCUGUUGCUGUAAUAAUAUCUCAGAGGAGUGAAUUUCUAAAGAGAAGGGCUUUAUAUGUCCCUAAAUUCUGGAGUCAGGAAUUCCAAGAUUUGUCAUCUUGGCAUCACUGUCUGGUGAGGGUCUUGGCAUGGCAAUGACUUCACACACAGAGGAGCUCACAAAGUAGAGAAAUGCAGGUAUGUGUGGAAGAGAUAAAGGGUAAUUAGAGAAGUGAAACAAAGUUUCUGAAUAAAGACAGCCAAAAAACACAGAAUAAAACCAAUUUAAAGAUCACACAAGCUCAAGAGGAAAAUGAAAAGUAAAAGAAACAGUCCUGCACGAUGAGGCCACCCAUGCUACUCUGGGCACAGACAUCCCACCCCACCCAUUGGCAUGCAUACCACUGGCAUGGAGUUAACCUGAACAUGAACCCCUCCCAGUCCUUGAGACUGUCUCUCCACUUCACAGCUUGCCAGCCUUUUUACCCAAUUCAUAUACUUCAUUCUUAGAAGCAAAACAAAGCUAAGUGGCUCAUAAGGUCAGAGUACAGUGUUUUCCAGGUUCUUCCGAAGCCAGCUAGUUCUUAACUAAUAGAAACAAUUUUGUUUGCUAAAGACGUGAUCCUGAGAAUAUUCAGUUUAGGUCCUGUGCUAGCUUGAGUUUUCUGAGAUGCAAACCUGCAUAAUAGGUACUGGGGUAUUAGCUAUGUGACAGACUUAUUAGGAGAAAUGUCUGAGAGGGAAAGAGAAGAGCUUGAUGAGAGUAGACUCAAAAUUCAAUCUCUGUGAAGCAGAAAAGGAAAAAAGUAAUGAAAAGGGAAAAGAAAGAAGGAGACCAAAAGAAAGGAAAGAGGAAGAGAUGGGAUGUCUUUGACAGAAGGGUCCUGCAGGGCUGACACUCCUGCACGGCUGACACUCAUCAAGUCAAAUUUACUGGAUGGAAGAAAAGCCAGUCUUCAUGGAAUGAACUUACCUUGGUGUCUUUAUCAAGAUCAGUAAUGGGAUGAAUGGAUUCUACACUUGAUCUUAGCCAAAAGGCUAAGAAGUGAUGAAUGGAUUCUAGAGCACCAAAGGUGUUUUGCAGCAACAGGAGAUCUGAGAGAUAACUUUUUUGGUCACUACAAUUGCUGUGAGAACUUGUUUGGGGCAAUUGACUUGCCAGUAGCAUUUGGAGAUGUCCUGAUGAUGUCAUUUUUGUGACACCUAGUAUACAAUUUGCUCAUGUGUGUUGGGGUGGGUUGCUUUGUUUGUUUGUUUGUUUGUUUUAUUUUGAUUGUCCUCACUUUUAGAUAUGGCACACCUCAGGUUUGACACAACAGCUCCCUUGGUCCAAGAACAAUACAACCACUUUAAACUUAUACUUUAAAGAUAAAAAUAUUGUGUCUUAAUU
rnacentral:lncRNA from 1 species